UCCGGUUGAUCCUGCCAGAGGCCACUGCUAUCGGGGUUUGACUAAGCCAUGCGAGUCGAGAGGUUUCUGACCUCGGCGUACUGCUCAGUAACACGUGGACAAUCUGCCCUAAAGAGGAGGAUAAUCCCGGGAAACUGGGGGUAAUACUCCAUAGUUUGUGUUUACUGGAAUGUUACGCAAACGAAAGAUCCGUCGCUUUAGGAUGAGUCUGCGGCCGAUUAGGUAGUUGUUGGGGUAACGGCCCAACAAGCCUGUCAUCGGUACGGGUUGUGGGAGCAAGAGCCCGGAGAUGGAUUCUGAGACACGAAUCCAGGCCCUACGGGGCGCAGCGGGCGCGAAAACUUUACCAUGCGGGCAACCGUGAUAAGGAAACCCCGAGUGCCAGCACAGGCUGGCUGUCCACCAGUGUAAAUAACUGGUGAAGAAAGGGCCGGGCAAGACCGGUGCCAGCCGCCGCGGUAAUACCGGCGGCUCGAGUGGUGGCCACUAUUACUGGGCUUAAAGGGUCCGUAGCUUGAUAUGCAAGUCUUUUGAGAAAUCCGCCGGCUUAACUGGUGGGCGUUCAGGGGAAACUGCAUUUCUAGGGACCGGGAGAGGUGAGAGGUACUGCCGGGGUAGGAGUGAAAUCCUGUAAUCCCGGUGGGACCACCUAUGGCGAAGGCAUCUCACCAGAACGGGUCCGACAGUGAGGGACGAAAGCUGGGGGAGCAAACCGGAUUAGAUACCCGGGUAGUCCCAGCUGUAAACGAUGCGCGUUAGGUGUGUCAGUGACCACGUGUCACUGAGGUGCCGAAGGGAAACCGUGGAACGCGCCGCCUGGGGAGUACGGUCGCAAGGCUGAAACUUAA
rnacentral:rRNA from 1 species